ensembl:lncRNA
GGGCGAUCUCUGGGAUGGUAGAGGGUCGGAACAUACCGGUUUUGCUGGGAAGAGGCAGAUAUGGCGGGAGCCGGGGGGUAGGCCGCACUCGGGGAAUGAGGGCUCGCUGCUUAAAAGCGGUUCCCCGUUCUAGCCCCUCAGAAUCAGAAUCACCUAGGGGCUCAACCCGUGGUACUGGUGAUAGGCAAUGUCCGGGCCCUGAGCUCCGGCUGCUGCUGCUUAAUGCCAGGUCAGUGAAUAAUAAAGCUCCCCUCGUUCGGGACCUGCUUUUGGACGAGGUGGCUGACCUGGCAUGUGUGACUGAAACCUGGCUGGGCCCUGAGGGAGGUGUUCCUCUCUCGGAAAUCUGCCCAGCCGGAUUUCAGGUGUGGCACCAGCCGCGACCUCAGGGAAGGGGUGGCGGAGUGGCGAUUAUUGCCCGGAAGACGCUUAGCCUGCGCAGGCUCGCUGCUCCCGAGAUUGCGGGUUGUGAGUUCCUCUUUGUGAAGUUGGACCUAGGGGUUCAGGUGGGCUUGUUGCUCGCGUACCUGCCUCCCAACUACGUGUCGACUGCCCUGCCUGCGCUACUUGAGGAGGUGGCCGGGCUGGUCGUUGAGUCUCCCAGACUUAUAGUCUUGGGGGACUUUAAUGUGCCAUCACUCGGCGAAUCCUCGGGGUUGGCGCAGGAGUUCAUGGCUUCCAUGGCAACCAUGGACCUGACCCAGGUAGUUCAGGGCCCGACUCACGAGAAGGGACACACACCCGACAUGGUAUUCCUCUCAGGACAGUUGAGUAAUGAGCUGAUUUUAAGGGGCUUAGAUAUUGUGCCCUUGUCAUGGUCAGAUCAUUCUCUGCUACGGCUUGACUUCAGGGUGCCAAUCCUUCACCGUAGGGAGGCGGAACCGAUUAGGUGGUUCCGCCCCAGACGCCUAAUGGACCCGAUGGGCUUUCAAAGGGCGCUUGGGGAAGUACCGGACUCGCUUAUACACAAUUCGGCGGAGUCCCUGGCAAUGGCCUGGAAUAUGGCCGCAAAGGGGACUCUUGAUCGGAUUGCGCCUAUGCGACCUCUCUGUGGUAGUAGACCCAGAAGGUCUCCUUGGUUCACCGAGGAACUCAGGGGGAUGAAACGCCAGAAGAGACGUCUAGAGAGCCGUUGGAGGGCCAGUAAAUCCGAGUCUGACCGAACACAACUAAGUUCUUAUAUUAAGACUUAUCUUGUGGCGAUCAAGGUGGCAAGAUCGGCAUAUCUUUCCACAGUGAUUGCGUCUGCGGAAUCUCGCCCAGCCGCCCUGUUUAGGGUGACUCGCUCCCUCCUUGGUGUGGGGGGGGAGGGAGAACCCAUGCAGGGUAGUGCUGAGGAUUUUAAUAAAUUUUUCUCAGAUAAAGUCGCUCAGAUUCGGGCAGACCUGGACUCUGACUGGGAAGCAGUGUCGACUGAAAAUGAUUCAGUCGAGGUGACUGGGUCACGUCUUUGUCCAGUUAUAUGGGAAGAGUUUGAACUGGUGAUGCCUGAUGAAGUGGACAAGGCCAUGGGAGCUGUGAGCUCCGCCACCUGUUUAUUGGAUCCAUGUCCCUCCUGGCUGGUUUCAACCAGCAGGGAAGUGACACGGGGCUGGGUCCAGGCGAUUGUAAAUGCUUCUUUGAGGGAGGGGUCAUUUCCAGCUCCCUACAAGGAGGCGAUUGUGCGCCCCCUCCUCAAGAAGCCUUCCCUGGACCCAACUGUUUUAAACAACUAUCGUCCUGUCUCCAACCUCCCCUUUAUAGGGAAAGUUGUCGAGAAGGUGGUGGCGUUCCAGCUCCAGCGGUCCUUGGAUGAAGCCGAUUACCUAGGCCCGUGGCAGUCUGGUUUCAGGCCCGGCUACAGUACUGAGACUGCCUUGGUCGCACUGAUAGAUGAUCUCUGGCGGGCUCGGGAUAGGGGUUACUCCUCUAUCCUGGUGCUUCUUGACCUCUCGGCGGCUUUCGAUACCAUCGACCAUGGUAUCCUUCUACGCCGGCUGGAGGGGUUGGGAGUGGG